GUGCCAGCCGCCGCGGUAAUACCGGCAGUCCGAGUGAUGGCCGAUCUUAUUGGGCCUAAAGCGUCCGUAGCUGGCUGAACAAGUCCGUUGGGAAAUCUGUCCGCUUAACGGGCAGGCGUCCAGCGGAAACUGUCCAGCUUGGGACCGGAAGACCUGAGGGGUACGUCUGGGGUAGGAGUGAAUCCUGUAAUCCUGGACGGACCGCCGGUGGCGAAAGCGCCUCAGGAGAACGGAUCCGACAGUGAGGGACGAAAGCCAGGGUCUCGAACCGGAUUAGAUACCCCGGUAGUCC
rnacentral:rRNA from 1 species